CAACCCUCAAGCUCUGCUUGGUAUUGAGCUCUUGCCAGUGAUGGCAGGCUCUAAAAUCAGUGGCGGUGCCGUUGGGUCCUGAGCGUAGUAAUACUUCUCGCUACUGGAUUCCCGCGUGCGUCUUGCCAUAACCCCAAAUUUUUCUUA
rnacentral:misc_RNA from 1 species